AAAGUUACACAAGAAGAAUUGGCCCUUGACCAGCCUGAUUGGUUGCAGGAGGGGACCAAUCAGAGGUACCUCCCAUUUUUCAUCUGCAGCCCAAUGCAAAGUAAUGACAUGGAUCUGGAGAGAUUCUCUUAGGAGAGAAUCUGGCUAAGUGUCUAGCAGGAUGAUUGAUUAACAAGAUGUUUUGUUUUCAUCAUCUCAGAGAUAAAGUACAUGGUUUCCAGGCCAAAUACCACAGUGUUCCAGGCAAGGAUGUGGUCAGUUUCCUUCUCUGCUGGAUCCCAAAGCCCAGGGCAGCUCUUGCACAUACAAACACAUUCAAGCAUCUUCUAUGUGCCAAGAACUUGCUGGAAAACAUCACAAAAGUUAAUAUUUUCUGGAGAUCAAGGAAUGAAACUCAGCCCUCUGCAAAUGGAACACAAACGCCUGGUACAUGGAUGCUACAAUGAAAAGAAUAUGGGUGCUGAAAUCAGAGAGAAUCAUCCAAGAUGAUCCUUAUGCAUGCUGAACUCUGAGAGCCACCAGUGAAGAAGAUAAGUGACCCAUCUACCUGUAGCUGGAAAAUAAAGGCUCUUUGGGAUUCUUUCCCAUGAGUCUUCAUUUCACCAUAUUGGUGAGAGAAGGCAUUCAGGCCCAAUAAUUAACUGAACAUUAGCUGUGUACCAGACACUGUGGUCGACAUUGAGAUAUAACGGAUUUAAGAAAGUCUUUGUGGCUGUGGUGGCUUCAAAUCACUCCCGAGGCUUUAGAAGAAUAUAAUUGCCGUUCUAAGAAGAAUCUGAGGCCUCUAGGAGAUCUGCCAGUAGUGGCCCCAAUGUAUAACAGCACUAGCUCAGUGAAGAGAGAGAGAAAAGAUCUGAAGAGAGUGGUUGCAGUUUGAGCUCUGUCAAUGGGACAGUCCUGGGCAGGAGACUGGGGAGAAGAGGCGGCUUGCUGGUUUUCCUGAACCACUUCCACCCUGAAAGACUCCUUGCAUACAAUCAUCAGAGAAGAACCGUGGGAACCAAGAACCAUGAGCAGGAGAACCAUGAGCACACUGUUCGCAAUGGCCAAGAUUUGGAGGCAACCUAAGUGUCCAUCGACAGACAAAUGGUUAAAGAAAAUGAGGGAGGAGGAAAAAACCAUGGCUGCGGAGGUGAUUUAAUAUCCUGUUGACUCUGAAGAAAAAUACACUUCUUCAUUAUAAGAGUUUUAUUGCCAAUGACUAGAAGGAAAUGUAAAGGGGACAACACAAGAUGACUAACACAGGAAGUUAUAAAACUCACAGCUCUAACUGUCAUGGCCCUGGGCCCAUGGUGCCUGAAUCCCUCUGGGAGUAUUAAAUGGAAGGCCCCCUGGUACCUGAAUUUUGUUUUAGUUUUCUCUCUCCAUCUCUGUGAUUACACAUAAAAUCAGCCAAGCACCUGCUCCCCUCCAGCCUAGAUAACACAUACCUCCAUGCUAUAAAGGGACAAUUUGACCAAGAGACACCCACCUCACCUGACCACAGAGCUGGAAAAUCUACUAUGUCAGACUUCCAUGCAACCGCUGGUGGGAGAAAGUUUUCACGAGUCUCUCUGGGCCCUUAUCCCUCUCCCCUGUAUUCCCAUCCUUAUCCAAAUCCACAUUUCACCAAACUCCCUAACGCUAAGCAGCUGUUGAAGUUCAGAUCACAGUCUCUGAGGAGCUCCUGGUUUCCCAUGGAAUGUGAUUUGCCUCAUCAUCUUACAGCCUGCCUCCACUUUGCUUUCUUAUCAUUUC
rnacentral:lncRNA from 1 species